rnacentral:rRNA from 1 species
GACGAACGCUGGCGGCGUGCUUAACACAUGCAAGUCGAACGAUGAACCCGGAGCUUGCUCCGGUGGAUUAGUGGCGAACGGGUGAGUAACACGUGAGUAACCUGCCCUUGACUCUGGGAUAACUGCGGGAAACUGUAGCUAAUACCGGAUACGACCCUCGGCGGCAUCGCCAGGGGGUGGAAAGAAUUUCGGUCAAGGAUGGACUCGCGGCCUAUCAGCUUGUUGGUAAGGUAAUGGUUCACCAAGGCGUCGACGGGUAGCCGGCCUGAGAGGAGGACCGGCCACACUGGGACUGGGACACGGCCCAGACUCCUACGGGAGGCAGCAGUGGGGAAUAUUGCACAAUGGGCGGAAGCCUGAUGCAGCAACGCCGCGUGAGGGAUGACGGCCUUCGGGUUGUAAACCUCUUUUAGCAGGGAAGAAGCGAGAGUGACGGUACCUGCAGAAAAAGCACCGGCUAACUACGUGCCAGCCGCCGCCGUAA